rnacentral:lncRNA from 1 species
ACCACCAAAGAAGAUGCCCACCAACAAUGAAACUUUCAUCAAGGGAGUGCAUGUUCCCUGCCCAUUUUCUGAAAAAGCUACGGGAACAAGAUAAUAUUCUCCUUUUAUUUUAUUUUAUUAUUUUAUUACUUUAUUAUUAUCUAUUAACAUGAUGGCAUAUUAGUUAAAUAAUAUAAUCGUUCCUUUACAUGUGAUAUCACAGUGAUCAUUACCAUAAAACAUGGCAAAGUCUAUACACUCACUAAACCAUUUACAUUAUAUAAUUAUUUUAUCACCUCAUCUGACCAAAUUGGAUAUCAACAACUUGAAUGAAAAUAAUAUAUAUAUAUAUAUAUAUUAUUUGUUGCCUAGUGACAUAUAUUUAACCCAAGUACAUGUGCAAUAUUUAUUCAUGGCCUAG